ensembl:lncRNA
GUUUAGGAGAGAGUUGGAGGGAUUUAGAUUCAAAGGCUGGGGUGGUUUGCAUUGGAAAUAUGCUUGGAAUUUAUCGCAGCUGCUGAAAGUGGGAUCGCCUGGAGGUGCACAGAUUGUGGAAUUACAGCUGUUCUGUGGAACUGAGGAUCCUCUGGUGGCUCAGCUGUAAAGAAUCCGCCGGCAAUGCAGGAGCCACAGGAGAUGCAGGGGAUCUUCCAGAUCCAAGGAUCAAGCCCGGGUCUCCUGCAUCACAGGUAGAUUCUUUACUGUCUGAACCACCAGCGAAGCCUGAAAAAAAUGAAUGGGACUCAUCCUAAUGUUGCUGGCUUUGAUGGAGGGAAGAGGCCAUGAGCUGAGCAAUCGGGCAGCCUCUGGAAGCUGGAAUGGCUGUCGGUUAACAAUCAGCAAGGAAAUGGGGACCUUAGUCCUACAACUGCAAGGAACUAAAUUCCACUCACAACCUGGGACCCUGACUGACACAGGUUCUGUGGCGACAGUGGCAUCUGUCUUGGCAGGUCACUUGCUGCCUGAAUCCUCAUUUUGCCAAACUGUACCUUCUCACUGGAUCUCAGGUGCUGAUGACUACAACCACGCUGGAGGAUCACUGUGCCCUUUUGGACUGAUCAUUUAACUGUAGACUACCUCCUUGGGCGCCAGCCCUGGAGCUGGAUUGGUUUCUCCCAGCUUUGUCCCUGCCCAGUCCUGACCUCAUUUCCCUCUGUACUUACCCAGUGUUGGAGUAUUAGCAUGCCUAAUAGAAGCAACACCUGCCC